GAGACAUUGGGACCAUUUAAGUGACUUCAGUGUUACUGCGUGUGCAUAUGUGAUCUCAUCUGAACCCUCCAAUAGCCCCAUGAGGAAGUUUUCCCAAUCUACAGACGCGGAAACCGGACCUUGGACCACAUGAGUGUUGGAAGUCCUGGGGAAUCGGUGGUAGAGUCUGGAAGAGGAGACCCAGCCACCCCUUCCUUCCCUCAACACGCCCGCUGCCUCCCCCUCAUACCACUGGCCCUGAGGUUGAGAAAGGCCACACUUUCACCAGGUCACACAGGCAUUGCCAGUUUGGACUCCAACCUGCUCCUGUUUAGAAUAUUUCAGAAGAAAACUAUGAAAAACAACAGGCCAACAGGGAUGAAGGGCUUAGUAUGGAAUUUCAGAAUUACCAGCCUAUCCCCCUCACCUUCCAGGCUCAGCUAACCCUAUGGCCUCACAAGAACCUCGCUUGAUGUCUCCUAUACCUCCCCUCAGCUCUCCCCCCAUCGGCCUUGGUGCCUCUGCAGGCUGGAAUGGCCUCCUCCUUCUCAUUUACUAGAAGCAUGCUCAUCUUCCAGCAAGUCCUCCAGGACUGCAGGGUCUCCCCUUGGCUAAGCUCCUGAAUUAAGUCAGCAUGUUCACAGCUACGGGGCAUGGUUGCAUUAUCCAUCUAUGGUGUGGGGUUUGUCUCACUAAGCAUCUUGAGAGGACAGGCUAUGUCUGCUACAUCCCUGUGCCCACCCAUGGAGCAAGAUACCGCACCGUUCCCAGAGAAGUGGAAGCAUCAACAGCCGCAUCAGCAUAGAUUUAAUGGAGACUCAUACCUCGGAUCCCCUUUGAAGCCCAUAACGGCCCCAUGGGGAGGUUUUCCCAUUCUACCAGUGUGACCACUGGCCCGGAGAGGCUAAGGGGUUCUCCCAAGGCCAUGUAGGUAGAAGUGACAGCACCAUUCCCAGGCCAGAAUCUUGCUCUCAGCCACCAUGAGAAGCAGGUGCUCAACAAAUAUUUAUUGGCUUUUUCUUCUUCUUCUUCUGCCUCUUAAAAUGUUAGCAGAGUACCAUCAAGAGAUCCUCAUCGACUCUGUUCGGAACAGAAGAAUCACCUAGCAAAGCCCCUCCCUCAUUCCUGACCCACAGAAUCAUUAGACACAAUAAAAUGGUUGUUGACAUAGGCCACUAAGUUCGGAGUAGUUUGCUAGACAGCAACGGGAAGCUGGGACACCCUUACGAGGUCUCAAAGAGCAUCUUCCUCAGAGAUGGCAUUUCGCCCUUUUUGGUAAGCGUAUCAGGGCGUAUCAGGCAGAGUUUGUGUUGAAUGCCCUCCCAGCUCCCCGUAGGUGCCCUGUCCCAAUAUCCAGUGCUUCUCAAGGUCCUCUGCCACACCCAAAGUUUCCCCCAAAGCCCUCCUGCCCCCAACAUGCCUCAAACCUCAGAAUACUUCCCAGCCUCCCUGCCAUCCUUCCACUCACCU
rnacentral:lncRNA from 1 species